CUGGCCGCACGGCACCCUAACUACCAUGGGACACUGUGCGGCCACAGCUCACACAGCCCCCUCCAGCCAGGGCCGGUACAAGGAUUUUUGCCGCCCUAGGCAAAAGUAAAGUUUGCCGCCCCCCAUGUGACAUCACAAUGCCCCAACCAUAUGAUUUGCCAUGUUAACUAACGCCAGUGCUGCAGUGCCGCCGUGUUUACAUUAAAAGGCCUGCAGGGACAGACUAUAGACACCAGAACCACUAUAUUAAGCUGAAGUGGUUCUGGGGACUAUAGUGUUUCUUUAAUGUGAGGUAAAUUAG